GACGAACGCUGGCGGCGUGCCUAAUACAUGCAAGUCGAACGAGAGCGACCGGUGCUUGCCCUGGUCAAUCUAGUGGCGCACGGGUGAGUAACACGUGGGUAACCUGCCCAUCAGAGGGGGAUAACAUCCGGAAACGGAUGCUAACACCGCAUAGGUCUUCGAACCGCAUGGUUUGUAGAGGCAAAGAGUCGCAAGCUUCUGCUGUUGGAUGUACCCGCGGUGCAUUAGCUAGUUGGUGAGGUAACGGCUCACCAAGGCCGUGAUGCAUAGCCGACCUGAGAGGGUGAUCGGCCACAUUGGGACUGAGACACGGCACAAACUCCUACGGGAGGCAGCAGUAGGGAAUCUUCCGCAAAGGACGCAAGUCUGACGGAGCAACGCCGCGUGAGUGAAGAAGGUUUUCGGAUCGUAAAACUCUGUUGUUAGAGAAGAACAAGUGCUAGAGUAACUGUUAGCGCCUUGACGGUAACUAACCAGAAAGCCACGGCUAACUACGUG
rnacentral:rRNA from 1 species